AUUGAACGCUGGCGGCAUGCCUUACACAUGCAAGUCGAACGGUAACAGGUCUUCGGAUGCUGACGAGUGGCGAACGGGUGAGUAAUACAUCGGAACGUGCCCAGACGUGGGGGAUAACGAGGCGAAAGCUUUGCUAAUACCGCAUACGAUCUAAGGAUGAAAGCAGGGGACCGCAAGGCCUUGCGCGUUUGGAGCGGCCGAUGGCCGAUUAGGUAGUUGGUGGGAUAAAAGCUUACCAAGCCGACGAUCUGUAGCUGGUCUGAGAGGACGACCAGCCACACUGGGACUGAGACACGGCCCAGACUCCUACGGGAGGCAGCAGUGGGGAAUUGUGGACAAUGGGCGAAAGCCUGAUCCAGCAAUGCCGCGUGCAGGAUGAAGGCCUUCGGGUUGUAAACUGCUUUUGUACGGAACGAAAAGGCUCUGGCUAAUACCUGGGGCACAUGACGGUACCGGAAGAAUAAGCACCGGCUAACUACGUG
rnacentral:rRNA from 1 species